rnacentral:rRNA from 1 species
CCUACGGGAGGCUGCAGUGAGGAAUAUUGGUCAAUGGCCGGAAGGCUGAACCAGCCAUGCCGCGUGAAGGUCAGUGCCCUAUGGGCGUUAAACUUCUUUUGUGCGGGAGCAAUAAUGGUCACGUGUGGCCAGACGAGAGUACCGUACGAAUAAGCAUCGGCUAACUCCGUGCCAGCAGCCGCGGGAAUACGGGGGAUGCAAGCGGUAUCCGGGUUUAUUGGGGUUAAAGGGUGCGUAGGCUGUGUGGUAAGUCAGCGGUGAAAUGCCCCCGCUCAACGGGGUAAAGUGCCAUUGAUACUGCCUGGCUGGAAUGCGGAUGAGGUGGGAGGAAUGUGUGGUGUAGCGGUGAAAUGCAUAGAUAUCACACAGAACACCGAUUGCGAAGGCAUCUCACGAAUCCGCGAUUGACGCUGAUGCACGAAAGCGUGGGUAUCAAACAGGAUUAGAUACCCGUGUAGUC